CGUCUACUUUGUAGUUCAAAUGUCACGGAAUGUUUGGCGAAUUCUGUAAUACCUGUCGGGUGAAUGUAUUAUGAAUCUUUCCCAUACCAUGUGGAUGUAAUUAAGCAUUGCCAACAUGAAGCAUGUGUAAAAAGUGUUAAAACCACUCCAACAUCAUUUCCGUAACCGUUCUUAUGUGUCAAGUAUCCAGGUCAUGAGGCAGCGGACGUCUAAUAAGUAGCCGAAAGGAAAUAUGGCUGGAAAAAGAUCGCAAUUUCGAAAUGGAUGUUGCUCGGAAUUUGUUUAUCACAUCUGCCGUCUGCUCUUUGUGGGAUUUUGCUUAGGUGUAGUGCUAUUGGCAACUAAUCGGUCUGCCAAAGAAUACGCACGAAGUCAAGAUUUAGACGUCCUCGUCCCAUCCGGCCUAUGGAGCUUCGGAGACCUUGACGUAACACUAUGUCCCUUGCCGACACUGAACGCCAUAGCGGGCCUCCACAUAGGGAACAGCUACCGGAAGUUUUCGAGAUUCAAGGAGGCACAACUGUUUGAAGGAUCAGCCAAGUACAGUCAGUUCAACGCAGUGUUUCAGGAAAUGAAUGCAUGUCUACAUCGGAGCAAGUUCGCGAGGGUGUCGGAUGAUCUUCUAUACAAAAUAGACCGAGCACAAAGUGUGGGAUGUAUUCCGAACAUGACAACGGCUUUAGCCAAAGCGCACAACCAAACAGAAAAAGAAUAUCUCAAGCAUGCUGUCUUGUCACACUCAUAUGAGUUAUUUACCAAGCACUUUGGAACCAAAUACGGAACAUUUCUUGACUACUCCCCGGACACUUUUCAAGGCAUUGGUUACUUAAAAUCAGACAACAUAACGUUGGAGAACUUCUUAGACAUGAUGGCCAUCAAUGCUGUAGAUUAUGUGAAGAUAAGGCCCCCCUUCAGCAGCGGCAGCAAUCAGAAGGAUGGCGAAACUAUACGCCGGAAUGAUGACGCUGCUACCGUAUCCAAUCGAUUUGCUCCGAAGUGUGCAAGGUAUCAGUUAAACUUCAGCAGGGGAGCUGCACCCCAACGACGUCAAAUUAUGUUCGA
rnacentral:lncRNA from 1 species